GACGAACGCUGGCGGCGUGCUUAACACAUGCAAGUCGAACGGUAAGGCCCUUCGGGGUACACGAGUGGCGAACGGGUGAGUAACACGUGGGUGAUCUGCCCUGCACUUUGGGAUAAGCCUGGGAAACUGGGUCUAAUACCGAAUAGGACUGCGCACUGCAUGGUGUGUGGUGGAAAGCUUUUGCGGUGUGGGAUGGGCCCGCGGCCUAUCAGCUUGUUGGUGGGGUGAUGGCCUACCAAGGCGACGACGGGUAGCCGGCCUGAGAGGGUGACCGGCCACACUGGGACUGAGAUACGGCCCAGCCUCCUACGGGAGGCAGCAGUGGGGAAUAUUGCACCAUGGGCGCAAGCCUGAUGCAGCGACGCCGCGUGAGGGAUGACGGCCUUCGGGUUGUAAACCUCUUUCAGCACAGACGAAGCGCAAGUGACGGUAUGUGCAGAAGAAGGACCGGCCAACUACGUGCCAGCAGCCGCCGUAA
rnacentral:rRNA from 1 species